UAGAGUUUGAUCCUGGCUCAGAUUGAACGCUGGCGGCAGGCCUAACACAUGCAAGUCGAACGGUAGCACAGAGAGCUUGCUCUCGGGUGACGAGUGGCGGACGGGUGAGUAAUGUCAGGGAAACUGCCUGAUGGAGGGGGAUAACUACUGGAAACGGUAGCUAAUACCGCAUAACGUCGCAAGACCAAAGAGGGGGACCUUCGGGCCUCUUGCCAUCGGAUGUGCCCAGAUGGGAUUAGCUUGUUGGUGAGGUAACGGCUCACCAAGGCGACGAUCCCUAGCUGGUCUGAGAGGAUGACCAGCCACACUGGAACUGAGACACGGUCCACACUCCUACGGGAGGCAGCAGUGGGGAAUAUUGCACAAUGGGCGCAAGCCUGAUGCAGCCAUGCCGCGUGUAUGAAGAAGGCCUUCGGGUUGUAAAGUACUUUCAGCGAGGAGGAAGGCGGUAAGGUUAAUAACCUUAUCGAUUGACGUUACUCGCAGAAGAAGCACCGGCUAACUCCGUGCCAGCAGCCGCGGUAAUACGGAGGGUGCAAGCGUUAAUCGGAAUUACUGGGCGUAAAGCGCGCGCACGCGGUCUGUCAAGUCGGAUGUGAAAUCCCCGGGCUCAACCUGGGAACUGCAUUCGAAACUGGCAGGCUAGAGUCUUGUAGAGGGGGGUAGAAUUCCAGGUGUAGCGGUGAAAUGCAUAGAGAUCUGGAGGAUACCGGUGGCGAAGGCGGUCCCCCUGGACUAAGACUGACGCUCACUGCGAAGCGUGGCGGGAGCAAACAGGAUUAAAUACCCUGGCUAGUCCACGCCGUAACGAUGUCGACUUGGAUGUUGUGCCCUGAAGCUUUGCUUCCCGGAGCUACGCAUUAAGUCGACCCGCCUGGGGAGUACAGCCGCAGGUUCAA
rnacentral:rRNA from 1 species